UGGGGAAUUUUGGACAAUGGGCGAAAGCCUGAUCCAGCAAUGCCGCGUGUGUGAAGAAGGCCUUCGGGUUGUAAAGCACUUUUGUCCGGAAAGAAAUCCUUGGCUCUAAUACAGUCGGGGGAUGACGGUACCGGAAGAAUAAGCACCGGCUAACUACGUGCCAGCAGCCGCGGUAAUACGUAGGGUGCAAGCGUUAAUCGGAAUUACUGGGCGUAAAGCGUGCGCAGGCGGUUUGUUAAGACCGAUGUGAAAUCCCCGGGCUCAACCUGGGAACUGCAUUGGUGACUGGCAGGCUAGAGUAUGGCAGAGGGGGGUAGAAUUCCACGUGUAGCAGUGAAAUGCGUAGAGAUGUGGAGGAAUACCGAUGGCGAAGGCAGCCCCUGGGCCAAUACUGACGCUCAUGCGCGAAAGCGUGGGGAGCAAACAGGAUUAGAUACCCGUGGUAGUCCACGCCCUAAACGAUGUCAACUAGUUGUUGGGGAUUCAUUUCCUUAGUAACGUAGCUAACGCGUGAGGUUGACCGCCUGGGGAGUACGGUCGCAAGAUU
rnacentral:rRNA from 1 species